UGGACCCCCUUUCUACCCGUAGGCGCGAGGAAUGGCGCCUUCAACCAUAGACCGAUGUAGGGUUAGACUCAACUCGCUGCCAAGCGUUUCCAGGUUCGCUUCUUGGCCCCACCCCACUUUUGUGAACAGCUUAUUGUAUAGAUGUGUGGAAUUGCUGUCAACUCGGGUCUGCUUCCGCCUGCGCGCCCCUUCCACUCUCCGCAGAGACUUUCUUAAAGGGACUGCUUUUAAAAGGAUGUGUGUGUGGAUCCAUGUAAGUCAGGGUUGCCAUAUUUCAAAAAGUAACAUUCCUGAUACGUGCAAAGUUGUUGAGCUUUUUUUUCUUGGAACCCAAAUGGUUGAGCUUUUUUGUGGAUACCUCCCCCCAAAAUAGUGAUUUUAAGCUUUUGGGUGCUUUUUCCAUAGCGUUGCUAUAUGUCCAGGUUUUCUGCCAAUUCUUUGGAGUGCAAUUUUUACGCCCCAAAACCAAAACGUCAGGAAUUUUUCUGACUUAUGGCAAACCUAAUAUAUGUGCGUAUUUUAAGGGCAGGUGGUUGAACUUGCUAUUUCCUCUUCCCUCCCAUCCCUUUAUUUCUUGUGUGCUACGUCUUUUUAGACUGUGGUCCUUUUUCUCUUUCUGUUAGUACUUAUUUUUGUGAAUUGCUCUGGCAGCCUCUUUAGCUAAGGGCUGGAUAAUAAUUGCCAGAAAUAACUACUGGGUCAGUAGUAGAUUCUGAAGUGCACACACUCUUCCUGACAACCCCAUAGCUAUUCCCCUUUCGAAAUGAUGCAACAAAAAUUAUAUUUUUUUACCAAUCCAAACAUUAUGGCUUCAAGCCAGCUUUUUUCUCACCUCCCACCAUCUAGUUUUUCUCAGUACCCAAUCUGAUGAAGUGUUCUGUUGGAUGCAGAAGCUUGCAUACAACCCAGUGAGAUGGGUGGGGUAUAAAUAUUAUUAUUAUUACUACUGUGUUAUAUUUAUAUGUACAUGUAUACAAUAGGAGCUGCAGGAAGCAACUGGUAGCAAAGGAAAUCUUGCCUCCAUCACAGGUUCAGCAAGUUCUAGCUCAUCAUCCAAUGCCCUUGUACUAGAGGUCCUCAACAGGAGGCAGUUUGGUGGCAAACACAACAGGGAGAGGUGGGGGAAGAGGGCAUUUAAAAUUUCAUCCUUUGUGUUGUCUCUGCCACAGAGCACUAUCUGAGACUUUAAAGAAGCACCUGCAAUUGGACAUUGACAUAUAUUCCAGGAUACAAGCCUGCUUUUGGAGGGUGUAACUGGAAGGGCCACUUCAUAUUUGUCAUCAUCUUUUUAGACCAUGGUGAACAGGUGUGCCUAUCCUAAAGGCAGAAGUUAUUUCUUGCUCCUUCUUUUCUUAAGAACCUUUGAUGCAGAGCAUAUGCUUUGCAUGCAGAAGGUCUGUUGGGACAUGAUACAAGUUUAUAAAAUUAUGCAUGCCAUGGAGAAAGUGGCUCUCAUAGCACUAGAAUCCAUGGACAUCUUAUGAAGCUGAAUGCUGGAAGAUUCAAGACCAAUAAAGUACUUCAGUUAAAUGAUGGAACUUGCUCCCACAGGAGGCAGCGAUGUGAUGACCAUUAACUUGGACAGCUUUAAAACAGGAUUUGAAUUUUAAGCAGAAGGCUCUCAAUGCCUACUAGCCACGACAGCUAUGCUCUAGUUCCAGAGCUGGUGGCAGGAAUUCUUUUGAAAGCCAAUUUCUAUAAAUCACAGGAGAGGAGCAUGCUUUUGUGUUUGGACCCUGCUUGCAGGUUUCCUACAGGCAUCUUGUUGGCCGCUGUGAGAACAGAUUGCUGGGUUGCAGGCAGGGGACAUUCCCCAGCCCUACCUGAAGAUGCUAGAGAUUGCACCUAGGACAUGAAAACAUGCUGGAUCAGGCCAAUGGCCCAUCUAGUGUUCUUCUUCGGCGAUCAUUCGUAGCCGAGUAAAAUUGUCUUCCAUAAACACGGUUUUAACAAUGAGUCCGUAAGUGGCUGUGGAGGCCAAUUCUGGAUCCAUGUGUCCUUCCACAGUGGGAACAUUGGUUUCUGGGCGGGAGCUGGUCACGGUGUGGAUUAGCCAAGCGUGCCUUCCUCUUAGCAUGUUUCUCCCUUGCGUCCUGAGUUUGAGUGUCUUCAAAGUCCAUGACACCUUUGGUAAAAGCUGUUCUCCAACCGUAGCGCUCACAGGGCAGCGUUUCCUAGUUGUCAGUGUUUAUACUACAUUUAUUUUUACCUUUACCAUCUAGUGUAGCACCCUGUUCUCACAGUGGCCAGCCAUAUUUCUAUAACAAACCUGCAAGCAGGACCCAAGCACAGGAGAACACUCCUCUCCUAUACUCUUUGGUCCAUCUCGUUCCAUAUUGUCUUCUGCCAGUCAGUGUAGAAGACAAUAUGGAGUGAGAUGGAUCAAUGAUCUGACUCAGUAUAACAGCUUAUGUUUUAAGAAAUCCAGGGGGCUUUCCAGUUAAUAUCUUCUUAAUGUGUUUUUUCAGUGUUUCUUAAACAAAACGUACAAGCUGCUUUGACUACAUGUUUGUGUGUAUGUAUAAUAUAUAUGUACUUCCACAUUUAGAAAUAUACCCAUUUUAGCUGAAUUUGCAAGAUACUACUGUUGCAAAACUGAUAUUUUAGUACAAACACAGGACCCCAUUCUAUAUUUUGCUGGAAGCUACCCAGAGUGGGUGGGGAAACCCAGCCAGAUGGGUGGGAGGAGGAGAAGAAGAAGAAGAAGAAGAAGAAGAAGAAGAAGAAGAAUUCAGCAAAGUGGCUAUGCUCAGACAGGAAGCUAGAGUUAAGUCACAUUCUGAAGAGCUAACACACUGGUUACAAAAAAAUACAUGCAGUUUAUCUUCUUCUAUCCCAGGAACUAUUUAUUUAUAUUAUUUCCUAUAUCUUUAUCAUUUUAUUGCAAGAAGAAAACCUUACAGCAAGUUUGCAGGGAACUUUUAAGAGUAGUGAAAAGUGAUGCAUAAGUCUUAGGAGGUUUGCAGCCUACAGUGUCAGUAUUUAAUUAGAGCCAGUGUGGUGUAGUGGUUAAAGUGUUGGACUAAAACCUGGGAGGACAGGUUUCAAAUCCCACUCAGCCAUGAAACUCACUGGGUGACCUUGGGCCAAUCACUAGCUUUUGCCCUAGCUUUCCUCAUGGGGCUGUUGUGAGGAUAAAAUAAGGCAGGGAAUAACCAUGCACACCACUUUGAGUGGGUUACUAGACAUCCCGUUCCCGGGGACAGUCCCCGGAUUUGCAAAUCUGUUCCCAGACAAAUUCCAUCCCCGGAAUGUCCCCCGAUUUGCAAAUCUGUCUUCGGGAAACAUGGCGGCUGCAGGCUCAGCAGCCCAGAGCCAGCGACUCCCAAGCCUCCCCCAUCAGUCAAAACAAAGGGGGAAGGGGGCAGGAGAUGGGGGAGGCUCGGGAGUCGCUGGCGCGCCGUUGUCCAGUUUUUUAAAUCUCAUAGCAUUUUUGUUUCACAGGGUGUGAAAGAAGGGCUUUGCACCUUUAUAUAAUAUGCAUGUGUGCUUGGACCCAGGGGCCUCACCAUCCCCACUACAGACUCCCUGUUGCUAGGUAAAGGUAAAGGGGCCCCUGACCAUUAGCUCCAGUCGUGACCGACUCUGGGGUUGCGGCGCUCAUCUUGCUUUAUUGGCCGAGGGAGCCGGUGUACAGCUUCCGGGUCAUGUGGCCAGCAUGACUAAGCCGCUUCUGGCGAACCAGAGCAGCGCACGGAAAUGCCAUUUACCUUCCCGCCAGAGUGGUACCUAUUUAUCUACUUGCACUUUGACAUGCUUUCGAACUGCUAGGUUGGCAGGAGCAGGGACCAAGCAACGGGAGCUCACCCCAUUGCGGGAAUUCGAACCGCCGACCUUCUGAUCGGCAAGUCCUAGGCUCUGUGGUUUAACCCACAGCACCACCCACGUCCCUGUUGCUACUCAGCUUAAAAAAAAAAAAAAGGUCACUGGAUUCAUUGAAAAAAAUCUGGUAACCAUAAUCCUUGAGCUCCCUAGAGGAAACGUGGGGUGGAUAUACAGUGUGUGUGUGUGUAUAUAUAUAUAUAUAUAUACACACACACACACACACACACACACACACUGUAUAUCCGUCCCACGUUUCCUCUAGGGAUAGUGUGUGUGUGUGUGUGUGUGUGUGUGUGUGUGUGUAUAUAUAUAUAUAUAUGUGUGUGUGUGUGUGUAUAUAUAUAUAUAUAUACACACACACACACACACACACACACACACACAGAGUAUAUAAUAAAUAAAUCCUAAACCAGUUCAAUUCUUCCCAGCCCACCCUCAGCCCCCUCUCAAACGCAACCAACCGCUAUUGCCCGGCCCACGGGAAAGAACUCUCCAUUCCCCUCUACUGGAAUGCGGAAGUCCGUUCCAGAUCCUCAUUGGCCCUCCGCCGGCCCUGCUCCUCCCCUUCCCC